GAUGAACGCUGGCGGCGUGCCUAACACAUGCAAUUCGAGCGAUUCUCUUCGGAGAAGAGCGGCGGACGGGUGAGUAACGCGUGGGUAACCUGCCCUGUACACACGGAUAACAUACCGAAAGGUAUGCUAAUACGGGAUAACAUGAGAGAGUCACAUGGCUUUCUUAUCAAAGCUUUUGCGGUACAGGAUGGACCCGCGUCUGAUUAGCUAGUUGGUAAGGUAACGGCUUACCAAGGCGACGAUCAGUAGCCGACCUGAGAGGGUGAUCGGCCACAUUGGAACUGAGACACGGUCCAAACUCCUACGGGAGGCAGCAGUGGGGAAUAUUGCACAAUGGGCGAAAGCCUGAUGCAGCAACGCCGCGUGAGCGAUGAAGGCCUUCGGGUCGUAAAGCUCUGUCCUCAAGGAAGAUAAUGACGGUACUUGAGGAGGAAGCCCCGGCUAACUACGUGCCAGCAGCCGCGGUAAUACGUAGGGGGCUAGCGUUAACCGGAAUUACUGGGCGUAAAGGGUGCGUAGGUGGUUUCUUAAGUCAGAGGUGAAAGGCUACGGCUCAACCGUAGUAAGCCUUUGAAACUGAGAAACUUGAGUGCAGGAGAGGAGAGUAGAAUUCCUAGUGUAGCGGUGAAAUGCGUAGAUAUUAGGAGGAAUACCAGUUGCGAAGGCGGCUCUCUGGACUGUAACUGACACUGAGGCACGAAAGCGUGGGGAGCAAACAGGAUUAGAUACCCUGGUAGUCCACGCCGUAAACGAUGAGUACUAGCUGUCGGAGGUUACCCCCUUUCGGUGGCGCAGCUAACGCAUUAAGUACUCCGUCUGGGGAAGUACGCUCGCAAGAGUGAAACUCAAAGGAAUUGACCGGGGACCCGCACAAGUAGCGGAGCAUGUGGUUUAUUUCAAAAGCACCGCGAAGAACCUUUACCUAAGCUUGACAUCCUUUUGACCGAUGCCUAAUCGC
rnacentral:rRNA from 1 species